CCCUUAGACACUCUAGGCGGCACGCGCGCUAUACUGGGUGGAAGAACGUGUUACUGCCAUCGAAAGGUGGGGUGAAUCACGAAUUCUUGCCCGUGAAUGGGAUAGUUUGUUGCAAUUUUCGGACUUGAACUAGGAAUCCCUUGUAAGCAUGCUCAAGAAUAGCGUGUUGAAUACGUCCCUGCCGUUUGUACACACCGCCCGUCGUUUCUUCCGACUGAUACUCAUUGUGAGUUGCAAGGAUCCUUCAUUGGAGAAUUGCCGCGAAUGCUUUGUAUUGGAGGAAGAAAAAGUCGUAACA
rnacentral:rRNA from 1 species